AGUGAACGCUGGCGGUAGGCCUAACACAUGCAAGUCGAACGGCAGCACAGUAAGAGCUUGCUCUUACGGGUGGCGAGUGGCGGACGGGUGAGGAAUACAUCGGAAUCUACUUUUUCGUGGGGGAUAACGUAGGGAAACUUACGCUAAUACCGCAUACGACCUACGGGUGAAAGCAGGGGAUCUUCGGACCUUGCGCGAUUGAAUGAGCCGAUGUCGGAUUAGCUAGUUGGCGGGGUAAAGGCCCACCAAGGCGACGAUCCGUAGCUGGUCUGAGAGGAUGGUCGCCCACAUUGGAACGGAGACACGGUCCAGACGCCUACGGGAGGCAGCAGUGGGGAAUAUUGGACAAUGGGCGCAAGCCUGAUCCAGCCAUACCGCGUGUGUGAAGAAGGCGUUCGGGUUGUAAAGCCCUUUUGUUGGGAAAGAAAAGCAGCAGGUUAAUACCCCGCUGUUCUGACGGUACCCAAAGAAUAAGCACCGGCUAACUUCGUG
rnacentral:rRNA from 1 species